CUCUCCUGCAAAGAGGAAGACGGUGGAAACGAUCUCUCAUGGCCUCGACAUAAGGAAUUUUAAUAACAAGGCAGUGGAGAUGAACUAGACUUGUAGAUGGUUGAUGAUGAUAACGUUCUCUCUUGGUCCCAACAAGCAAUAUGUUGAGGAGUAAUUGGAGGCUAAUAGGAGAAUCAGAAGAUGGUUUAUACCAUAUCAACAAAAAUGGGGUUUAAGGAAAACCAAGAUCAAUGACAUCUCUUUCUAUAUAAGAGUUUCGAUCAAUUCGAAGGUUUUGUGAUGUAA